GAGCGCGGCAGGGCUGCGCCGGCUCCGAAACUCUGGGCGUGCGCGCUGCGCUCUGGCGGAGAACGCUCUCUGCUCCGCUUUUAUUUCCCCGUGGCGGACCACGUUGAGAACAACAACAGCCUGGGCCCAGGCCAGCGCCAACUUGUGCUUCUUCGAGCGCCUUCCGCGGCCACUGGCUCCUCCGCCCGCGACUCCCGGAUGCGGAUGCACCUUCAGCAGUGUGCCCUGGACAGGGUCCGAGCCCGCUGCGCUGUGCAGAGGCGGCCUGCGCCUAGGAAGGGCUCAGCGGAGGGGCACAGAGGUGUGUACCCCAGGCUACAGGAGCGUGGAGGAGGGGGGCGCUCAGUUUGGAAAGGAUUAGCGCGGGCCCCGGGCGAGACCCCAAGGCCCAAAACUUUGCAGGCGGCAGACUAGAGUGCUCCUCAGGCACCUGAGUUAGUUCUGGGCCCAGGGGACCACAGUUCUACCCGCAGGAAGGGCAUUAAUUUGUUCCAACUAACACAGGGUACGCCCUCACGCGGCCGACAGGAGCAACGCGAAAACAGAGAGGGUACUAGGGCGGGGGUCUCCUCAGGAUCCUAAAAGGGGAACAACAGAAGGGAAUUACCCUGAGCUUGCACGUCUGGAAUCUCGGGCUUUGGACGCUUGGCAUCGCAAGGAUGAGUCAGUGCAGGCACAACCACAGGGGCCUCUCCCCAGACACUUCCUCACCACACUCGUCUCAAGUACCCCAUUUUGUGAUGCAUCAGGAGCUGUCC
rnacentral:lncRNA from 1 species